AUGCUUGAAGCCCAGCCCUGCCCAGCCGGACCCACGGCACCCUGGAGGAAUGUGGGGGCAUUUCCAGGCCCCCGCCUGCUCAGGCAAUCUCCCCACACACGGAGAAUACCAGCCUCGAGCCCCGGGAAAACACAGGCGAGAGCUGAGAGCAGCCUUCUGGAGGCUGCUGCCCUCCCCCCGCCCCCGCCUGCCUGCUGCCAGAUCCCAUCAGCCGCCUCUCGGGUGACCCAGGCCGCGGAGCUAGCAGGAGCAGUUGUGUUUCUCCCCAGCAACGCCAGCUCGCUACUUAACCCUGUCCAGCAGGGCGCCCGCGGGAGGCCUGCCCGAAAGACGGCGGGGCUGGGGGUGCGAGGGCUGAGACCAGGAGGCCCCGGCUCCCUGGGCACUCCCGGCUGGAGGGCAGGCCCCUGGGGACAGGGACAGGGAUGGAGCAGAGGUGGGGCGGCGCCUGCAGAUGGAAACUAUGACUUCAGAAAGCUGGAAUGCUGCUUGGGAAACAUCAAGGCUCAUUCAUCACAGGGAGACACCCUGGGAGCCGGAGGGCGGGCUCCUGGGCUCCCCCAGGACGGAGCCUGUGCACACGCCUCCCGCCCCACCGUGAACACGAAGGACACGGAAACACAUGUGUGCACAGCACACACAAGUGUGCACCCACACACGUGCAAACGCACAGCACACACAUGUGCCCACAGAUGCAUGCUGCAUACACACAUGUGCGCAAGCACGAGUGCACAACGCACACACAGGUGCGUGCGUGUGCGCGCGCACACACACACACACACACCCUGCCAAGCUUCUGACUCACCAGUCCUGACCUCUGCUCUGGGAUCCCUGCAGGCCUGCGGGCAGAGCCAGGCGGAGGGUGGCAGGCGGGUGGUGGUGGUGGGGAGCAGUGGCUUGGCUGGGGCUGGGGGCUCCGGGAGGGGAGCAGGCGCCCACAGCCAGGCCUUGUGGUCUGGACUUGAGAAAUCGCCAUCCCUAAUAAGAGAUUCUGGCAACAGGGGCCCUUCCCUGAACAAGGGGCUGGGAUCUCUGAGCGCCUGUGCAGGAGUCUGGGCAAGUUUAACACAAGGCAUGUGA
rnacentral:lncRNA from 1 species